GCCCCGUUAAAGAGCUAACACCGCCGAGAGCGAGUGCCGGAGAUAAGCGCCGGGAUGGGGCAUAAGUU
rfam:Hafnia alvei FB1, complete genome.